rnacentral:lncRNA from 1 species
UCAUGUGUGAGGAUCACGACGAAAGGAAAAUAACGUUCGUUGAGGGUUGAGUUCUUCAAAUACAAAAAUCUGGUGAGUUAACUCUUUGUUUUUCUGUUUUAGUUUUUGGUUACAAAGUGUUUGUUUCACUAAUUCUUUAACGUAUCUUCACAUAUGGAUUGUUUAUAUAAAUAGUGUUAUUAGGUGUUGUUUUCUAAAAAUAAAGCUUACAAUUGAAGACACAAAAAUGCAGGUCAAUUCAUUCAAACAAAAACUACAAUAGGAACUGCCCAUUACAAAUCAUGAAUACUAAAAUAAUUAAUUCCUAAAACAAUAGGAACCAACUUAUAACAUAAUCAAACUAACAAGAAAACAAUCCUAAAGCAUUUUAUUAAUACUAGACAUGAUAAACUCUUUAAUCUAUUACUUAAACGUGUUUGUUGGGUUGGGUUAAGUUGAGUUGAAGUACAUUUUUAGACUCAACUUGAAUGUUUGGGUUGUAAGCUAAGCUUUUUUAACCCAAAUAACUCUCGCUAGAAAAUGAACCAAACACAACCCAACCAUGAAACAUUUGGGUUAGGUUGGUUUAGUUCAUUUGGAUCAUUUAUCUUUUUUCUUUCUUUUUAGAAUAAAGAGAAAGUAAAAUAUUAAUACGUAGAAAUUGGAUUUAAUUAUUUUUAUAUAUUUAAAUUAAACUCAAUUUCAUUUUAUAUAAUUCAUAUUUUUUUCCAAAUUGCUAAAAUCUAUUUUUAGAAGUUAUCGGAGAAUAAACUACAGAUAAAUAAGAAAAUUAAAUCAAACAAAAAUAAAAAUGUGUAUAUAUAAUAGAAUCUUGAGUAUAAAAUCUAGGUAAAUUGCAUAUGAUAGAAUUUUGAUAAUAUGAUAUAGUAAUUACACCACAUUGUUUUAGAAUUUUGUAAAUUUGGUAAAAUGUAUAAGUAGGACUUCAAGCAUAUCAAGUGUAUUUAAUCAAUCAAUUUUAUAAGUGAAGAAUACUAAAUGUAUCUGCAGUGUAUCAAACAUAUAUUAGUAAUGUUUCAGGUGUGUAUCAAAAUGUAUCGAGUGUAUCAAAGAGUAUUAUAUCAGGUGUAUUAGGUGUACAAAACGUGUAUAAGGUGUACGAGACGUAUAUUAGUAACGAGGACAUUAGUGACAUUUUACGGUUUGAU